rnacentral:rRNA from 1 species
UACGUAGGGGGCUAGCGUUGUCCGGAUUUAUUGGGCGUAAAGAGCGUGUAGGCGGCCAGAUAGGUCUGCUGUGAAACUCGAGGCUCAACCUCGAGAUGUCGGCGGAAACCAUUUGGCUAGAGUCCGGAAGAGGAAAGUGGAAUUCCUGGUGUAGCGGUGAAAUGCGCAGAUAUCAGGAAGAACACCCGUGGCGAAGGCGGUUCUCUGGGACGGUACUGACGCUGAGACGCGAAAGCGUGGGGAGCGAACAGG